GUAUGCAAGAUGGCAGCACCUAUGGAGCUAUUCUGCUGGUCAGGGGACUGGGGACUGCGGUCAGUGGACCUGGAUAGUCUGGCCAUGCUGAACUAUACCAGAUUUACAGGUGCUCCACUGAAGGUACACAAGAUCAGCAAUCAUUGGCAGAGCCCUUCAGGAACUCUGGCUGCUCUUCAAACCAGUAAUGGAGAAGUCAUCACAGAACCAUACAAGCUCAUCACCCAUCUUCGUAAAGAGAAGAACAAUGCUGUCUAUGACCUGUCAGCCUGACAAGAACAGAUGCUCCAGCCUUCAUGUCUCUGUUGGAGGAGAAACUACUUCCUGUGCUAAUCCAUACUUUUUGGAUAGAUGCCAAGAACUAUGUGGAAGUGACCCGAAACUGGUAUGCAGAGGCUAUGUCCUUUCCCCUCAACUUCUUCCUGCUUGGCCACAUGCAACCAGUACAUGGAGCGCCUGCAGCUGCUGUGUGGUGAGCACAAAUCAGAGAGCGAGGAGGAACUAGAAAAAGAGCUGUAUCACUCAGGAGUGCCUAACCCUUCUCUCUCAGCGUCUAGGCUCUCAGAAGUUCUUCUUUAGAGAUGCCCCUGCCUCCCUAGAUGCCUUUGCUUUUAGCCAUUUGGUUCUGCUGCUCAGUGGGAGUCCCCACCUCCAGGGCUGCAAAACCUGUGUCCACUGUAUCCACAUCCUCAACUUCUAUUUUCUUUGGAAUGGAGCUGAGGUGCCACCUCCACGCCAGACACCAGCAGGUCCCGAGACCGAAGAGGAGCCAUACUGGCAUCGGACCCAGAUUCUCUCUGUACUGGCAGCCAUGGUGGGCUUUGCUCAGUGGACUGUUAAAAGAGUAUCCAGCAUUCCGGAGCUGCCCCGAGCUGCCACCUUGUGCUGUAAAGGAGGACCCGGACUUCGAGAUAAGCUGCCUGGCGUUCCGGAGCAGCAGCAGCAGCACUCUGAGAUAAAUCACAAGAGUUUCAAACCUGCGAUCAGCAUCCCCUCAUUUGUCCUUCGCUCUCUCAGUGGCAUUGUUUCUAUCCAGUGGACAAGCCCUGCUCAGGCCCCAGUCACCCAGGCCUUGGGCCUGGCUGAGGAUGAAAAGGACUGA